CAACAGUCCAAGUGGAUGCUGGGAUCCCAGGAAGCAGGUGUCUUCUUCCCGCAGGAACUGCUGGUCAGAGGUGCCAGGCCUGUGAUGCUCAUCAGGUGAGGAUGCUGGCAAGGCAGAGGAACACAGGCCUGUGUGAGUCCACAGGGUAGGAUGUCUUGACAGCCCCACUACCACACUGAAGGCCUGAGAGAUCCUGGAGGCAGCUGCGGCUCUUCAGUCUUUUGGAGUCACAAAAGAAACAGUUCUAAUUUCAGCCCAUGGAUGCAGCAGUGACAGAGUAGAGGACUUGUCAGCAAGAUCAAGGGCAAGCCAACAAAACGGAGCUGUCACGGAGGGUGCCACCACCACAGGAGGAUGGGCCUUCCUGCUUCAGAGAAUCUGAUCAAGAAAGCCCCUCUCAGGACUGCACAGCAGCCGGAACUCGAGUUGAUAAUAGCUCGUCAAGGUGACAGGCAAGAGGAGGCAUCACAGGAGCCGUCACUUGUUAUUUGAGACAGGGUCUCUCACUGGCCUGGGCUCUGGCUGGCCAGUGAACACCAGGGCUUUUCUGUUUCUGCCUCUGUGGCAGGUGGAUUACAACACGACCCGCUGGGCCUGGCUUCUUUCACUUGAGUUCUAGGGAGCCAACUCAGCCUGAUUCUCCAAAGGCAAGCGCUGUACCAACUGUGUUACCUCCCAGCCCUAAACUGGGUUUCCGAUUCUUGUAAGCCAUGAAGUACUGACUAAUGUGGGGAUUGUUUUAGGAAGAUAAUGAUAACACACCAGACCUGGUUGUACACACCUUCAGUCUCAGCACUCAGGACAGCAGAGGGGGGCAAAGCUUUGAGUUUGAGACCAGCCCGCUCUACAUAGCAAGGCCCAGGACAGCCAGGGAUAUGCAGCAAGGCAUCUAUUGAGGGGUUAGGGGAGAAGGACAGAGAGGGACAGAGACAGAGAAAGAGACAGACAGAGAGACAGAGACAGACACAGAGAAUAUAACAGUUGUGACACAUGCCUGUAAGCCUAGCACUCGAAGGCAGAAACAGUAGGAUUGAGAAUUGAGCCUGGGCUACACAGAAAAGAACUUGUCUCAAAAAAAAAAAUAAUAAGCAAAACUAAAC
rnacentral:lncRNA from 1 species